rnacentral:rRNA from 1 species
UAAGGAAUCUUCCACAAUGGGGGCAACCCUGAUGGAGCAACGCCGCGUGAAGGAUGAAGGCCCUCGGGUCGUAAACUUCUUUUGUUAGCGAAGAAUAUGACGGUAACUAACGAAUAAGGGUCGGCUAACUACGUGCCAGCAGCCGCGGUCAUACGUAGGACCCAAGCGUUAUCCGGAGUGACUGGGCGUAAAGAGUUGCGUAGGCGGCUCGUUAAGUGAGUAGUGAAACCUGGUGGCUCAACCAUUCAGACUAUUACUCAAACUGGCGUGCUCGAGAAUGGUAGAGGUAGCUGGAAUUUCGUGUGUAGGAGUGAAAUCCGUAGAUAUACGAAGGAACACCAAUGGCGUAGGCAGGCUACUGGACCAUUUCUGACGCUGAGGCACGAAAGCGUGGGGAGCG